GUGUUCUCUCUGAAUGAUGAAAUUAUCAUUUAUCAUAUGAUGACUCUGUUGAACUAUCUGAUGAAUGGUUGGAUUGAUCGAACCAUCCUCGGACCUGAUCAUUCUUUGGCUAGAAUCACUAAGUAGGUUCAUGUUAAUGGUUGGACUUAAUUGAGACUUUUAGUGGAGGCCCAUCACCUACUGAAAUGAAACCUGGGGUGAAAUUAAAUACUAAAAGUUAUUUGGAGAAAUAAUUGAUUGAGAACCUACCCAUGGAUGCA
rnacentral:lncRNA from 1 species